UACGUAGGCAGCAAGCGUUGUUCGGAGUUACUGGGCGUAAAGGGUGUGUAGGCGGUUCUUUAAGUUUGGCGUGAAAUCUCCCGGCUCAACUGGGAGGGUGCGCCGAAUACUGAGGGACUAGAGUACGGGAGAGGAAAGUGGAAUUCCUGGUGUAGCGGUGAAAUGCGUAGAUAUCAGGAGGAACACCGGUGGUGUAGACGGCUUUCUGGACCGUAACUGACGCUGAGACACGAAAGCGUGGGUAGCAAACAGG
rnacentral:rRNA from 1 species